rnacentral:misc_RNA from 1 species
UCAAAUCCUCUAAUGGUCGACGGACUGUGAUAUGCUUUUUGUAGAUAGAAUUUCAUAAUUCUUCGUUUUUAUACUCGAAAUAAACGUUCACAUUGAGAGAUACACGAGAAUUUCACAAAUUAAAACUUAAAAAUCGCGCUAAGCACCAUGAGGAGCCGAUAAAAUCGAGUUAAAAUUUGCACGUAGCGAUAGGAAGAGCUCGAGCACUAUAGUUUUAACGUUUUAUAACUUUUUCAUGUUAAAACUGUUGAUAUUGUGGUUUGAGUAGUGAAGAUUGAAGAUGACUACGUCUUCUGAGGACGUUUUGCUCAGCGUGAGCUACGUGAGGUACAAGAAGGGUGAUGGGACUUUGUAUGUUAUGAACCAAAGGCUAGCUUGGAUGUUGGAAAACAGAGAUACAGUCGCUGUAUCACAUAAAUAUGCUGAUAUUAAGACACAAAAAAUAUCCCCAGCAGGCAAACCAAAGGUGCAGCUGCAAGUGGUGUUACACGAUGGUACGUGUUCCACAUUCCACUUUGUCAAUCCUGCUGGGGCGGAGGCCCAAGCCAAAGACCGGGAUCAGGUUAAGAUGUUGCUGCAGAACUUACUACCAAAGUUUAAGAGACAAAUCGAUGGGGAGCUCGAAAUGAAGUCUAGAUUGUUAUCCCUGCACCCUACGUUAAAGCAUUUAUAUGAAGACUUGGUGAUAUCGAAGGUGAUCAAUAGUGAAGAGUACUGGAAUACGCCCACACUCAAAACUUAUACCGAAUCUAAUAAUAUUAAGCAGGAGGCUGGUGUAUCCGGAGCAUUUUUAGCGGAUAUCCAGCCACAAACGGACGGCUGUAACGGCCUGAAAUAUAACCUCACGCAAGAUAUCAUAGACGCCAUAUUUAAAACUUAUCCCGCUGUCAGAAAGAAACACAUUGAUUAUGUGCCCAACAAGAUGACUGAAGCAGAGUUUUGGACCAAGUUUUUUCAGUCUCAUUAUUUUCAUAGAGACCGUAUCGCCUCAUCGUCUAGCAAAGAUUUGUUCGGAGAAUGUGCCAAAAUGGAUGACCAAGCCAUUGCAUCAGCUAUGAAACACACUACUUUAGAUCUCACUGUGGACCUACCACAAUUCACGGAAAACAUACCUCUUUUACCGACGGAAGACGACGCGCCGCCAGAGAAGGACAGAGGGGAUAACACCUCCAUACACAGGAACAUGAUCAAGCGGUUCAACCAACACUCUAUUAUGGUGCUCAAAGCUAGUCAUAAAACAAAUUCUAGUAAUAAUAAUAAUAACAGUAGUAGUAAAACGACGAAUAACAACAAAGUUGUUGAGAAUGGCGUCAAGGAAUCGAAUGGAGUAGCAGAGAAGAGAACAGCAGAUAGUAAUACAGAAGCUCCUGAUAAGAAGAAGAGGAUAUUAGAGAAGAUACAUUAUGAAGAUUUAGAAGAUAGAAAGGGGAAUGAGGAUACGCAGGAAUUGAAAUUGUCGAAGGUAGAACGAUAUCUCCUUGGCCCAUCGUCUCAGACACACCAAACACACACGCAUACAAAUAAUCCACCACCUUUAUCUGCGCUCGCGUCGAUAUGUCAAGCGUGGUCGAGCGGGCAGCAAUGUCAGCGUCCGGUGCGGGUGAGCGCGGGGGCCUGCGUGGGAGCGCUGGGCGAGCUCAGCCCCGGCGGCGCCCUCAUGCGCCACCACCACGCCGCCUCCAUGGCACGUGAGUACUGCGACAUGUGACACAGUGUAGGCAGCAGUGCAGCGGCCGGUGCGGGUGGCGAGCUCAGCCCCGGCGGCGCCCUCAUGCGCCACCACCACGCCGCCUCCAUGGCACGUGAGUACUGCGACAUGUGACACAGUGUAGGCAGCAGUGCAGCGGCCGGUGCGGGUGGCGAGCUCAGCCCCGGCGGCGCCCUCAUGCGCCACCACCACGCCGCCUCCAUGGCACGUGAGUACUGCGACAUGUGACACAGUGUAGGCAGCAGUGCAGCGGCCGGUGCGGGUGGCGAGCUCAGCCCCGGCGGCGCCCUCAUGCGCCACCACCACGCCGCCUCCAUGGCACGUGAGUACUGCGACAUGUGACACAGUGUAGGCAGCAGUGCAGCGGCCGGUGCGGGUGGCGAGCUCAGCCCCGGCGGCGCCCUCAUGCGCCACCACCACGCCGCCUCCAUGGCACGUGAGUACUGCGACAUGUGACACAGUGUAGGCAGCAGUGCAGCGGCCGGUGCGGGUGGCGAGCUCAGCCCCGGCGGCGCCCUCAUGCGCCACCACCACGCCGCCUCCAUGGCACGUGAGUACUGCGACAUGUGACACAGUGUAGGCAGCAGUGCAGCGGCCGGUGCGGGUGGCGAGCUCAGCCCCGGCGGCGCCCUCAUGCGCCACCACCACGCCGCCUCCAUGGCACGUGAGUACUGCGACAUGUGACACAGUGUAGGCAGCAGUGCAGCGGCCGGUGCGGGUGGCGAGCUCAGCCCCGGCGGCGCCCUCAUGCGCCACCACCACGCCGCCUCCAUGGCACGUGAGUACUGCGACAUGUGACACAGUGUAGGCAGCAGUGCAGCGGCCGGUGCGGGUGGCGAGCUCAGCCCCGGCGGCGCCCUCAUGCGCCACCACCACGCCGCCUCCAUGGCACGUGAGUACUGCGACAUGUGACACAGUGUAGGCAGCAGUGCAGCGGCCGGUGCGGGUGGCGAGCUCAGCCCCGGCGGCGCCCUCAUGCGCCACCACCACGCCGCCUCCAUGGCACGUGAGUACUGCGACAUGUGACACAGUGUAGGCAGCAGUGCAGCGGCCGGUGCGGGUGGCGAGCUCAGCCCCGGCGGCGCCCUCAUGCGCCACCACCACGCCGCCUCCAUGGCACGUGAGUACUGCGACAUGUGACACAGUGUAGGCAGCAGUGCAGCGGCCGGUGCGGGUGGCGAGCUCAGCCCCGGCGGCGCCCUCAUGCGCCACCACCACGCCGCCUCCAUGGCACGUGAGUACUGCGACAUGUGACACAGUGUAGGCAGCAGUGCAGCGGCCGGUGCGGGUGGCGAGCUCAGCCCCGGCGGCGCCCUCAUGCGCCACCACCACGCCGCCUCCAUGGCACGUGAGUACUGCGACAUGUGACACAGUGUAGGCAGCAGUGCAGCGGCCGGUGCGGGUGGCGAGCUCAGCCCCGGCGGCGCCCUCAUGCGCCACCACCACGCCGCCUCCAUGGCACAAUUAAUACCACCCGACGUGAAAUCAGAACUCCAUCGUAUCUACCUCUCCGGUGGGGAGUUGCUACGGGAACUAUGGCGGUGUUUCCCACAGCCCGGGGCGGCGACCGACACGGAAGAUACCACGGCCAGAGCAGAGAAGUUCUAUGAAGCCCUGUUAAGAUUUAGGAAUGUUAAAUUGAGGCCUUUUGAGG